rnacentral:antisense_RNA from 1 species
UUUGAUCGAUCCGAGCCAGAGGGGCUCUACGCGGUCUUGGCCGUAGGUCGCCAGAAGUGCCUGGGCCUC